rnacentral:lncRNA from 1 species
GUAUUUGGGUCAUUGUUCAAAGUAGCCUUUCCUCUAUGGAAAACAAAUACAAAGCCAUAAACAAAAUAAGAGACGCAAAAGAAUUUAAUUCCCUUUUUAAGACUACACAGAGGAAGAACCAUAUGAAAAUCCCAAUGGGUCUUUGCUAAAACUUUACAACAAACCGAAAAACUUGAACUCAGCAAUUUUAGGUACUAACCUUUUACCUUCAUGCAUUUUCUCACUAACCAAACAUAUACAUUUUCUCACCUCAAAAUCCCGAAUAUAUUCAAGUAAUUCAACUACUUAUGAUCAAGCAGAUCGAGUUCAAAUUUUCAAAACUUAAGCAAAUACAAAAACAUAUAUUCUUCAAGUACAUCGCCAGGAUUCAAAAUUCUAAAAAUUUAAAAUUUACAAAAUCAUGAAAUAAUUCAACAAAUUAAGAUGCAGAUCGAAACACAAAAAAAAAAGCAAAUAAGUUCGUCUAAAUGUCAUAAUCGGACUCCAAUAUCGCAUGCCCAGUGCCCACAUUCAAAUUCAUAGUCAAGUCCACAAUAGAUCUAGAAAAUUCCGAAACAUAUUCAAAGAAAAAUACAAACUUUUUCACCUUAAAUUACAUAAAUUUCAAAUGGGUAACCAUAAAAUCGCCAUGAUCAUAAAAUUAAAAACCCAUGAACUGACAAAUAAAUAAAACCCACAACCUUUGCUGCAGCAAAAUCGCCAUGAUCAUCACAAGCUCUAACAGUUCCUCUUUUCGUCGGGUCUCGAAAGGGGCGAGUGAAAAUCAUGAUUUGGAAGAAGGAAUCCGUGAAGAGGACAUGAGAAGACUAGAGAGAAAGUGAUUUGGAGGAAGAGAGGAAGGAGAGGGAGAGGGAGACAGAGAGAGGGAGACAGAGAGACUGAGGAAGCAGCGGACGGAAGAAAGAAGUGUGAGAUCUGAAAUGAAAUGGGAGUGAGACGUCGGC